UACGACUACAUAUCAGGCAUAUCAAUAAGCGGAGGAAAAGAAACUAACAAGGAUUCCCCUAGUAACGGCGAGUGAAGCGGGAAGAGCUCAAAUUUGAAAUCUUAAAGGGUUUCCCUUUACGAAUUGUAGUUUAAAGAAGUGUUUUCUGUUGGAGUUUCGGUAAAAGUUCUUUGGAAUAGGACAUCAUAGAGGGUGAGAAUCCCGUAUUUGACCGUUACUUUCCAGCUGUGUGAUACACUUUCAAAGAGUCGGAUUGUUUGGGAAUGCAGUCCAAAAUGGGUGGUAAAUUUCAUCUAAAGCUAAAUAUUGGCGAGAGACCGAUAGGCGAACAAGUACCGUGAGGGAAAGAUGAAAAGAACUUUGAAAAGAGAGUUAAACAGUACGUGAAAUUGUCAAAAGGGAAGCGUUUGACACCAGUGUUGUUUAGUUGAAAAUCAAUUCAAUAAUUUUUGAUUCUAAGUAGUAUUGACUUCAUCAGCUUGCUGCUUUCUUCUCAGAAAUUAUUGAAUGCACUUUUCAGUUAACAAGUCAACAUCAAUUUCUUUUGUUGUAAAAGGGUAAGAGGAAGGUGGCUUGCGCUUCGGCUCAAGUGUUUAUAGCCUUUUAUCUCUGCAAUCGGAGAGAUUGAGGUCUGCAGCGUAGAUCCUUCGGGGUUAGAUACAUUGGUGCUAAGCUAUAGCCUUGUAUAGACAACUUGUUGACUAUGCUCAGUCAUGUAGCUUACUCGCUGAUGCUAUUUUACCUACGCUUAGGAUGUUGAACGCGCACAGAGUCUC
rnacentral:rRNA from 1 species